rnacentral:rRNA from 1 species
UGCAGAGGUCUCAAGCGUUGUUCGGAUUCAUUGGGCGUAAAGGGUGCGUAGGCGGCGUGGUAAGUCGGGUGUGAAAUCUCGGAGCUUAACUCCGAAACUGCAUUCGAUACUGCCGUGCUUGAGGACUGGAGAGGAGACUGGAAUUUACGGUGUAGCGGUGAAAUGCGUAGAUAUUCGCAAGAACACCAGUGGCGAAGGCGGCUCACUGGCCCGAUACUGACGCUGAGGCACGAAAGCGUGGGGAGCAAACAGG